UGUUUAGCUUAAUGGUAAAGUACUCGGCCAAUAUCCAAGGGGUGCAGGUUCGAGUCCUGUAGUA
rnacentral:tRNA from 1 species